UGUGAUACUAGAAGUGAAUUGAGGAUAAAAAAAAUAGUUCAUUAGGGUACAAGAAUUUUAGAAAAGAAUUUGGAAAGUUAAAUGAGGCAUAAAUCUUAAAUUAGUGUUAAUAUGGACUAUAGAUCUAAGACUUUCUAACUCUUUAAAUUAGAGUUAUUUAUUUUAAUGUAAAAUUAAUAUAUAGUAUUGUGAAAUAAUUAUGUAGAUUAUAUUGACAAAGAUAGUGGUGAAAAAGGAGUUGUGAAGGGGAACUUGUUAUUCAAGACACAAGGAGCGAAUCCGGCCGAGAAAGCACCAGAGGUGUAAUUAUGGUGUAUGAGACACCAUCUUUUACGUUGCCUCUUAUUUUGAAUUAUACAAUGUAUCUUGUGCCAACUUAGGACAUAUCUUGUCUAUGGAGCAUGUAAACUCUAAUCCUUUUUAUUAAAUGCAUUUAUAUGUCCAAAA